GAUGAACGCUAGCUACAGGCUUAACACAUGCAAGUCGCGGGGCAGCAUGAAGGAUGCUUGCAUCCUUUGAUGGCGACCGGCGCACGGGUGAGUAACGCGUAUCCAACCUGCCUGUUAUCACGGCACAGCCCGUCGAAAGGCGGAUUAAUGCCGUAUGUGGUCCUUUGCGGGCAUCUAAUUAGGACUAAAGGUUCGGCGGUAACGGAUGGGGAUGCGUCCGAUUAGCUAGACGGCGGGGUAACGGCCCACCGUGGCUACGAUCGGUAGGGGUUCUGAGAGGAAGGUCCCCCACACUGGAACUGAGACACGGUCCAGACUCCUACGGGAGGCAGCAGUGAGGAAUAUUGGUCAAUGGGCGGAAGCCUGAACCAGCCAAGUAGCGUGAGGGAAGACUGCCCUAUGGGUUGUAAACCUCUUUUGUGCGGGGAUAAAGUGUGGGACGUGUCCCAUAUUGCAGGUACCGCACGAAUAAGGACCGGCUAAUUCCGUGCCAGCAGCCGCGGUAAUACGGAAGGUCCGGGCGUUAUCCGGAUUUAUUGGGUUUAAAGGGAGCGCAGGCCGUCCUUUAAGCGUGCUGUGAAAUGCCGCGGCUCAACCGUGGCACUGCAGCGCGAACUGGAGGACUUGAGUACGCACGAGGUAGGCGGAAUUCGUGGUGUAGCGGUGAAAUGCUUAGAUAUCACGAAGAACUCCGAUUGCGAAGGCAGCUUACCGGAGCGCAACUGACGCUGAGGCUCGAAAGCGCGGGUAUCGAACAGGAUUAGAUACCCUGGUAGUCCGCGCGGUAAACGAU
rnacentral:rRNA from 1 species